UGUACAUGGAUUAGUUGGUUCUCUCUGGUUUUCAUGAAUCACUGUCCUUCUGUGUCUGGGCUUAGCCUGUGUGUAGCAGGGAGGCACAAAAUGGAAGCGCAAAGGCCAACAUAGCAUGGGACUCUACGGCAUUUCCCGGUCUUGAAAUGUUAGAAGAAUGCCUUUGAAGACUAUCCUGAUUUCCUGUGGUCCAAUUGCUUCUUUAUGCUAGCAGCGCCCUUGAGUAUGAGCUUCCUAGUUUUGGCACUGGAAUCUUGUUUGGGAAUGCCUCGCUGCCAUCUGGGAAGCUCUAGCGAAGCAGCCAAGCUUCGUCUGAUACAACCAUGGUCCCGCUGAAGAAGACCGGUGAUGGAAAUCAGACCUUGAGCGUCCAAUCAGGUCGUUUUCAUAGCAGUCCAGCUUACGGUAAAACCAAAGGAAAUCCUGUUUGUGGCCAUCUGACUUCGACACCGCCCCGGAACUGUUAUAUGGCUUUUGAAGUGUUGGCACAGACCAGGCUGUGACUAAGCAACCCCCACGGUCUCUCAUCUUCUUCCACAUUUUACAGAGGUGCCAGGCUCUGUCUGCUCUGUCCUUUUUUUCCACAGUAGAACUGAUGGUAUAGUUCUAGCCUGAAGUGGACAAGAGAGCUGUUCCCUUUUCUUUCUAUAGGCAUCUGUGGGCCGUUCUGCACUCUGCUCAGUGCUGUGCCAAGUUGCAGUGCCCGCUAGCUUCCAGUAACCUGCAAAAGCAUUCUGUUAAGAGGAAUGGCAUCCAGGUCCUCUCAGAAAGGUUAUCCACGAAGGAAUGUGAGUUGCAAAGUGAAAUAUGUAAGCUGAGCUUUGGAUGAGACACCAGGAAAGUCAUGCUUGUUGUAACUGCAAUAGAAAUGACAUCGCCUCUCUUGUUAUCUCUCAGUGAUCAACGAUUGUCAGGCCCUAUGAUCUGGUGUCGUGACGUGUGCUGUGACAGUUUGCAUCUCUGCAUUGGGGCUGUUUUUAGCGGCAAAUCCAUCUGUCUUAAUCUAUGCCGAAAACAGGUCAGCAGUCACGCAUGUCACUCAAAGGCUUGACCCACUGUAGGCCUUCAGAGCUACGCUGACGCAGCCUGUCAAACCUCAGACGAGCUCGGGUACGGGGCACUCUCGGUCCAGUGUUCCAGGCUGUAGGCACUACAGCUUUUGACUGCGUCUCUGCCAGGCAGGUGAGAAGACCGUGGGUCAAAACAAAGGAUGUUUUGACAAUGUGGCUGUAAAAACCCCAGAGGAGGAGGAGGAGGUUUGGAAAAGUCCCGACAUUCCCUGGCUCUCUUGCCACAUUCCCUGCAGCCCUUGUGAGCGUGUUAACCCGUGGAGUUGGUGUGUACGUCUCUGGUGCCUGAUUGCUGGCCGAUGGAGUACUGUCAAUAAAGAAAGUAGACAGAAAGACAGAAAGGUUUCCGAGGUUAGUCUGUGCGUCUGCUAGAAUCAGAGCAAUGUUUGGCAGUGCGCCCGUAGGCGAACAGUUUUUAUCGUCAAUGAAGAUCAACAAAUCACUUUUACAGUCAAGACUCACCGAUGAACAUUUCAGGCAACAUUGCGAUUGGCUACUUCACGUGAUAUCAGGCCUAAUGUUGACGUUCUGGUCUCUGCAAAACGAAGCAGCCAGAAUGAAGAACUUCAGAAAUAACCUGAUGUGAGUGCAUUGAGUAAAGUGGACCAACAUGUUUCAAAUAAA